UCACCUACACUCCCAAAGGUAAUGUCGUCCCCAAUGUUGAAAAGGAAAGAAGAGAGGGACCACAGAGAGAAUUUUUAGAGGCCUCUCACCAUCAGGAUGGGACUAUAUAAGGAGAACAAAGAAUAUGUUAAAAGGGGAGGAAACCCUAAGAAUCGUUUUUCGACGGCGAGGAGAAUAUCAAAACCCUAACGAAAUCAAGAAGGAGAAGAAGGAGAUAACCUAGACUUUGUGCUUUUCCGCAGAGAAGACGCGAGAUUCCAUUUGAACGCCGUCGGAGAAUCAAACGCGCCGGAGUUUAGAGGACCCAACAUCACCGUCAAUAUCUUCGUGGAAAGAGACUUGUGUUGGGAAUUGAUACCCAUGCUGCAGCAGUUUUGACCUUUCCUUUCUGUCGGCUUCUCAUUGAUUUGCUAAUUGACAAUUAAUGCUGGCCGCGUCCCCAUGACUACUGCCCAACGGCCACGCAGCUAGGAUGUGUUUGAUAUUCCCGGUGCCACCUCAUCUCGGGCCAAGCCGGAGCGGGUCUCAUUUGACCCGACCCAAAACAGUCCCAGAGACUGUUGGGUGAUCAUCAAGCCCAAGUAUUUGUUGCCCACCGCCCACCUUUAGUUAGGUUGUUUUCCUUUUUUUUCUUUCUAUUUUCUUUCGCCUUUUGCUUAUGUGAUAGGGUCACUGUCAAAGUAACAGUCGACUGUCUGUGGCCUGGUGGAGGGGAAGUUGUGCCAACUCCCUUUAAGUGGUGGGUUCGAUACUUGUGCAUUACAUAUUUGGUUUUAUAAUAUUUUAAUUUCUUUUGCGUAUUUCUUUUUAAUCCUCCCAUGUUCAUGUUUUAUUAUAAUUUCUCUGAUACUCAUUAUUUUUAAUGUUUACUUCUUUUAUUUAUUUUUAAUUGACAAAGCCUCGAUUUUAAUUUAUGGAUUCAACUACUCUCAUGUUUGUUUAUCCAUGAUUAUUUUAUCGAGAUAACGAUAGAAUUUCGUCGCGUUUCGGUUGGUCACACAUGAUCAUUCAAUGUUGACAUGAUGCAUAAACUGGUUUUGAGUACAGUACUUAGUUGUAAUUCCCCCAUCUCCACACCCUUGUAAGCCGAUUGCUUUUAAGCAUCGCCACCAACCUCACAUAGCUUACUCUUGGGCUUUCUUACAAUGAGACGGUUCGCUUGCACUUACACUCAUGCAUUGCUCGUUGAUUAUUAUGUUCCAUUUUAAUUAUUCCACUACUUUGAAUCCCCAUUUGACAAAAUGUACCCCCACUCCCAUGAUGCGUAAUAAUAUUUUACUGUUUUUCUUU